AGCGGCGACGCACAACGGUCGUGCACCGGACUCAUACUCCGGACCCAGCUGGUUCGACUCCAGCCGCCGCCACCA
rnacentral:tRNA from 1 species